ACUUCGGUAGCUCAGUGGAUAGAGCAAUCGCCUCCUAAGCGAUAGGUCGUGCGUUCAAAUCGCAUCCGGAGUA
rnacentral:tRNA from 2 species